rnacentral:misc_RNA from 1 species
UCCCGGUUAACCCGGGCAGUCUGACUAGAGUUCCCACCAUUACGUGUUGGCAACUAGUCAUAAGGGUUGCGCUCGUUGCGGGACUUAACCCAACACCUCACGGCACGAGCUGACGACAGCCAUGCAGCACCUGUGCAGAGGCCCCGAAAGGCACUACCAUCUCUGAUAGCUUCCUCUGCAUGUCAAGCCUGGGUAAGGUUCUUCGCGUUGCAUCGAAUUAAACCACAUGCUCCACUGCUUGUGCGGGUCCCCGUCAAUUCUUUUGAGUUUCACCCUUGCGAGCGUACUCCCCAGGCGGUAUACUUAACGCGUUUGCUACGGCACAACUAGGGUUGAGUCCAGUUACACCAAGUAUACAUCGUUUACGGCAAGGACUAC